GAUGAACGCUAGCGGCAGGCCUAACACAUGCAAGUCGAGGGGGAAGUUACUUUCGGGUAACAGAGACCGGCGUACGGGUGCGUAACGCGUAUACAAUCUGCCUUUCACUGGGGGAUAGCCCGAAGAAAUUUGGAUUAAUACCCCAUAGUAUAGUAAUACGGCAUCGUGAUACUAUUAAAGCUUAGGUGGUGAAAGAUGAGUAUGCGUUCUAUUAGUUAGUUGGAGAGGUAACGGCUCCCCAAGGCGAUGAUAGAUAGGGGUUCUGAGAGGGAUGUCCCCCACACUGGUACUGAGAUACGGACCAGACUCCUACGGGAGGCAGCAGUGAGGAAUAUUGGACAAUGGUCGGAAGACUGAUCCAGCCAUGCCGCGUGCAGGAUGAAGGUCUUAUGGAUUGUAAACUGCUUUUGUAAGGGAAGAAUAAGGGCUACGUGUAGUUUGAUGACGGUACCUUACGAAUAAGCAUCGGCUAACUCCGUGCCAGCAGCCGCGGUAAUACGGAGGAUGCGAGCGUUAUCCGGGAAUCAUUGGGUUUAAAGGGUCUGUAGGCGGGCUGGUAAGUCAGAGGUGAAAGCGCUCAGCUCAACUGAGCAACUGCCUUUGAAACUGUUGGUCUUGAAUGGUUGUGAAGUAGUUGGGAAUGUGUAGUGUAGCGGUGAAAUGCUUAGAUAUUACACAGGACACCGAUAGCGAAGGCAUAUUACUAACAAUUGAUUGACGCUGAUGGACGAAAGCGUGGGGAGCGAACAGG
rnacentral:rRNA from 1 species